rnacentral:rRNA from 1 species
AUACGGAGGAUGCGAGCGUUAUCCGGAUUUAUUGGGUUUAAAGGGAGCGUAGGCGGGAGCUUAAGUCAGCGGUUAAAUGGUGCGGCUCAACCGUGCCCUGCCGUUGAAACUGGGUUUCUUGAGAGUGCAAGAGGCGGAUGGAAUUCAUGGUGUAGCGGUGAAAUGCUUAGAUAUCAUGAAGAACUCCGAUUGCGAAGGCAGUCCGCUGGGGCACGUCUGACGCUGAUGCUCGAAGGUGCGGGAAUCAAACAGGAUUAGAUGCCCUGGUAGUCCGCACGGUAAACGAUGAAUACCCGCUGUCGGCGGUAGACAGUCGGCGGCCAAGCGAAAGCGAUAAGUAAUCCCCCUGGGGAGUACGCCAGCAACGGUGAAACUCAAAUGAAUUGGCGGGG